rnacentral:rRNA from 1 species
UACAGAGGGUGCGAGCGUUGUCCGGAAUCACUGGGCGUAAAGGGCGCGUAGGCGGCCUGAUAAGUCGGGGGGUGAAAUCCUGUGGCUUAACCACAGGGCUGCCUCCGAGACUGUCGGGCUCGAGCACAGUAGAGGCAGGUGGAAUUCCCGGUGUAGCGGUGGAAUGCGUAGAGAUCGGGAAGAACAUCGGGUGGCGAAAGGCGGGCCUGCUGGGGCUGU